CUUUUAUUUGGGUAAUGAGGAGAGGUGGUCUCCUGAGCAGAGUUUCUUAAGCUUGCCGUGUCUCCCUGUCAGUCCCCAUUUGCCAACCCCAACUCUAACCUAUUUAUCAGGUAAAAUCUUUGUCUUCUUUCAGAGCCCAGCUCAAAAUCACUUCCUCCAAGAAAUUGUCUUUUAUUCUCAGUCUGAAAUUCUCUUCCUCCUGAGAAUUUUCAGAAACCAAUUUUGGAGCCUUUAAAAAUUGUUCAUUACAAUU
rnacentral:lncRNA from 1 species